rnacentral:rRNA from 1 species
UACGGAGGGGGCGAGCGUUAUUCGGAAUUAUUGGGCGUAAAGGGCGCGUAGGCGGCCCUGCAAGUCAAAGGUGAAAUCCCUCGGCUCAACUGAGGAACUGCCUUUGAAACUGCGGGGCUUGAGGCCGGGAGGGGGUAGCGGAAUUCCCAGUGUAGCGGUGAAAUGCGUAGAUAUUGGGAGGAACACCGGUGGCGAAGGCGGCAUCCUGGACCGGUAUUGACGCUGAUGCGCGAAAGCCAGGGGAGCAAACGGG